UAUCGUAAUAAUUUGUCCUUUAAUUAGGGAAAGGAAUGAAGGGUUUGACGAAGGAGAUUCUGUCUCUUUAAUAUGGUUUAAAUUUGAGUUUUAGUUUAAAAUGACUAAAUUUUUUAAAAAGACGAGAAGACCCCAUCGAGCUUAAUAAUAGUUUUCUAUGUAGUUCUUCUAUAAAUUUUAUUGGGGCAAUAAGGAGUAUAAAUAUUUCUUCUUUGUAGUAUGAGGGUCCAGUAGGAUUGAGAAAAGAAAAAGCUACCGUGGGGAUAACAGCGUAAUUUUCUUUGAGAGUUCUUAUUGAUGAGAAAGUUUGCGACCUCGAUGUUGAAUUAAAGUAACCUUUUGGAGUAGAAAUUAAAAUUGGUAAGACUGUUCGUCUUUUAAAACUUUACG
rnacentral:rRNA from 1 species